GACGAACGCUGGCGGCGUGCUUAACACAUGCAAGUCGAACGGUAAGGCCCUUCGGGGUACACGAGUGGCGAACGGGUGAGUAACACGUGGGUGAUCUGCCCUGCACUUCGGGAUAAGCCUGGGAAACUGGGUCUAAUACCGGAUAGGACCACUGCCUGCAUGGGUGGUGGUGGAAAGCUUUUGCGGUGUGGGAUGGGCCCGCGGCCUAUCAGCUUGUUGGUGGGGUGAUGGCCUACCAAGGCGACGACGGGUAGCCUGCCUGAGAGGGUGACCGGCCAAGCUGGGACUGAGGUACGGCCCAGACUCGUAGGGGAGGCAGCGGUGGGGAAUAUUGCACAAUGGGGGCAAGCCUGAUGCAGCGACGCCGCGUGAGGGAUGACGGCCUUCGGGUUGUAAACCUCUUUCAGCACCGACGAAGCGCAAGUGACGGUAGGUGCAGAAGAAGGACCGGCCAACUACGUGCCAGCCGCCGCCGUAA
rnacentral:rRNA from 1 species